AGCCCCUUAGUCUAGUGGUUUAGGAUAUCGGACUCUGAAUCCGGUGACGGCAGUUCGAAUCUGCCAGGGGCUA
rnacentral:tRNA from 1 species